CCGAAGCGCUUACACUAUCGCGGUAGCUAUCGAGCCACGUUUCUAGCCUCGUUACGUUUGCAAUGAUUCCAGCAGCACUAGCGGCCUGUUUCGUUCUUCUGCUUUUAACUAUUUUACUGUGAUUUUGCUAUAGGAAGCAUUAGGGUUAUAAGGCAAUAAGAUAAAAGUUUUCCAAAUAUGGAUGUACGGUUAAGGAAACGACUUUUUCUGCAGAUUUAAUUUCCCGAACGUCACUUUCGCGUCACUUUAAAAGUGGUCAUCGGACUGGACUGGACUGACCUGGACUGGAUCAGGAGAAUGAGAAUGAAGUGGAGCGCGGCGGUAUUUGAUUAUGUGCAUUUACAAUUAACGGGAUCAAAUUUGAGACCCUCGCGGGCCAUCGACGUUUAUUUCUAUGAUAAUGGUUUCGGAUUUGACGAGGAUGAUGAUGAGAAGCCAUACAAAGGGGAAGCGGGGGAAACAGAGAAAACUGGAGGAUACCGCGCACGCUUUGAAAUUCAAUUAAAACUUUGGCGAUUUGAAUUUUAGCACAUUUUGAUGCUGCUUCUGCUGUUGUGACUCAUCAAUAAUAAUGAAUUGGUAAGUGAACUGCCAGUGCAGGGAGAAUAAGAAUGAUUUUGUUUGGUGAUGCCCUUUAGUGAAUUUGCGAUAAACUGGAAAAGAAGAACCAUGCAUAUUUUGGCUUGCGGAUUAAUUGGAGAAACCCUGUAUGUGUGAAAACUUCGAAUCGUUUUUUUUUGUUAGGACAGUAAUUUAUAUGUAAAAUGACCGCAUAGAAAAUAUAAAAAAUCA